rnacentral:rRNA from 1 species
UGGCUCAGGAUGAACGCUAGCGGCAGGCCUAAUAACAUGCAAGUCGAACGAUAACUUUCCAGCUUGCUGGAGAGGAAAGUGGCGCACGGGUGCGUAACGCGUAUGCAACCUACCUUAAUCAGGGGGAUAGCCCGAAGAAAUUCGGAUUAACACCGCAUAAAAUCACAGUAUAGCAUUAUACAAUGAUCAAAUAUUUAUAGGAUUAAGAUGGGCAUGCGUGUCAUUAGUUAGUUGGCGGGGUAACGGCCCACCAAGACAGCGAUGACUAGGGGAUCUGAGAGGAUGACCCCCCACACUGGUACUGAGACACGGACCAGACUCCUACGGGAGGCAGCAGUAAGGAAUAUUGGUCAAUGGAGGCAACUCUGAACCAGCCAUGCCGCGUGCAGGAAGACGGCCCUCUGGGUUGUAAACUGCUUUUAUUCGGGAAUAAACCUCCUUACGUGUAAGGAGCUGAAUGUACCGAAGGAAUAAGGAUCGGCUAA